UACGAAGGGGGCUAGCGUUGCUCGGAAUGACUGGGCGUAAAGGGCGCGUAGGCGGCUUGCACCGUCAGAUGUGAAAUUCCUGGGCUUAACCUGGGGGCUGCAUUUGAUACGUGUGGGCUUGAGUGCGGAAGAGGGUCGUGGAAUUCCUGGUGUAGCGGUGGAAUGCGCAGAUAUCAGGAGGAACACCAAUAGCGAAGGCAGCUCGCUGGGACGUUACUGACACUGAGGCGCGAAAGCGUGGGGAGCGAACAGG
rnacentral:rRNA from 1 species